rnacentral:misc_RNA from 1 species
CUAAAUCGUCGAUGGCGACCAACAGCAGCAGCCCCACCCCCACCCCGCUCCUCGCCUCAGCGUUUUUCCCCUCCUCGACAUGCUCUACCUUCCAUGGUCGGUACAGCUGAUUGUGCUCUCUCUGACCUCGCUCUCCUAGGGGAGGAGCCGGGAGCGAGAGGGGGAUCUCCACUCAUCAUCCUGACACUCGCUCCAAACACUCAAUGUCGGAUUCUCCGUGCUCCUGCACCACCCUCCCCUCGGCAGCGUUCCUCCUCCGCCCACCCACCCACCCAGUGGAAUGCGAAGAGAUCCACCCGAGAGCCGGUGGAUUGGUUUCUUCCUCUAUUGUUUUGAAUAUGGACGACACCAAUUCUACUACAUGCGCACCUAAAGAGAGUCAAAAUUAUAUUGAAACAGG